UACGUAGGGAGCAAGCGUUGUCCGGAAUCAUUGGGCGUAAAGCGCGCGUAGGCGGCCUCAUAAGUCCGUUGUGAAAGUCAAAGGCUCAACCUUUGAAAGCCGAUGGAUACUGUGAGGCUAGAGUCCGGAAGAGGCGAGUGGAAUUCCUGGUGUAGCGGUGAAAUGCGCAGAUAUCAGGAGGAACACCGGUGGCGAAGGCGGGUCUCUGGGCCGAUACUGACGCUGAGGAGCGAAAGCGUGGGGAGCGAACAGG
rnacentral:rRNA from 1 species